UACACACUGACAAAUGCCUGAAAACAGA
rnacentral:piRNA from 1 species